AUCUUCAGGGCGGGGUGGAAGUCCCCACCGGCGGUAUAGCCCGCGAGCCGAAAGGUACGAUCCGGUGACUUGAAAAAGGAUUCCGGAGCCGACAGUAAAGUCUGGAUAGAAGAAGGU
rnacentral:ncRNA from 1 species